AUGAACGCUAGCUACAGGCUUAACACAUGCAAGUCGAGGGGCAGCAUGGUCUUAGCUUGCUAAGGCCGAUGGCGACCGGCGCACGGGUGAGUAACACGUAUCCAACCUGCCGUCUACUCUUGGACAGCCUUCUGAAAGGAAGAUUAAUACAAGAUGGCAUCAUGAGUCCGCAUGUUCACAUGAUUAAAGGUAUUCCGGUAGACGAUGGGGAUGCGUUCCAUUAGAUAGUAGGCGGGGUAACGGCCCACCUAGUCUUCGAUGGAUAGGGGUUCUGAGAGGAAGGUCCCCCACAUUGGAACUGAGACACGGUCCAAACUCCUACGGGAGGCAGCAGUGAGGAAUAUUGGUCAAUGGGCGAGAGCCUGAACCAGCCAAGUAGCGUGAAGGAUGACUGCCCUAUGGGUUGUAAACUUCUUUUAUAAAGGAAUAAAGUCGGGUAUGUAUACCCGUUUGCAUGUACUUUAUGAAUAAGGAUCGGCUAACUCCGUGCCAGCAGCCGCGGUAAUACGGAGGAUCCGAGCGUUAUCCGGAUUUAUUGGGUUUAAAGGGAGCGUAGAUGGAUGUUUAAGUCAGUUGUGAAAGUUUGCGGCUCAACCGUAAAAUUGCAGUUGAUACUGGAUAUCUUGAGUGCAGUUGAGGCAGGCGGAAUUCGUGGUGUAGCGGUGAAAUGCUUAGAUAUCACGAAGAACUCCGAUUGCGAAGGCAGCCUGCUAAGCUGCAACUGACAUUGAGGCUCGAAAGUGUGGGUAUCAAACAGGAUUAGAUACCCUGGUAGUCCACACGGUAAACGAUGAAUACUCGCUGUUUGCGAUAUACUGCAAGCGGCCAAGCGAAAGCGUUAAGUAUUCCACCUGGGGAGUACGCCGGCAACGGUGAAACUCAAAGGAAUUGACGGGGGCCCGCACAAGCGGUGGAGUAUGUGGUUUAAUUCGACGCAACGCGAAGAACCUUACCAGGUCUUGACAUUGAUCGCGAUCUGCAGAAAUGCGGAGUUCUUCUUCGGAAGACGAGAAAACAGGUGGUGCACGGCUGUCGUCAGCUCGUGUCGUGAGAUGUUGGGUUAAGUCCCGCAACGAGCGCAACCCUUAUUGCCAGUUACUACGUUAAGAGGACUCUGGCGAGACUGCCGUUGACAAAACGGAGGAAGGUGGGGAUGACGUCAAAUCAGCACGGCCCUUACGUCCGGGGCUACACACGUGUUACAAUGGGGGGUACAGAGGGCCGCUACCACGCGAGUGGAUGCCAAUCCCAAAAACCUCUCUCAGUUCGGAUCGAAGUCUGCAACCCGACUUCGUGAAGCUGGAUUCGCUAGUAAUCGCGCAUCAGCCAUGGCGCGGUGAAUACGUUCCCGGGCCUUGUACACACCGCCCGUCACACCAUGAGAGCCGGGGGGACCCGAAGUCGGUAGUCUAACCGCAAGGAGGACGUCGCCGAAGGUAAAACUGGUGAUUGGGGUG
rnacentral:rRNA from 1 species